UACGUAGGGUGCGGAGCGUUAAUCGGAAUUGACUGGGCGUAAGCGUGCGCAGGCGGUUCUCCAAGUCCGUUGUGAAAGCCCCGGGCUCAACCUGGGAAUGGCAGUGGAAACUAGGGGACUGGAAUCUGGCAGAGGGGGUGGAAUGCCGCGUGUAGCAGUGAAUGCGUAGAGAUGCGGCGGACACCGAUGGCGAAGGCAGCCCCCUGGGCUGAGAUUGACGCGUCAGGCACGAAAGCCGUGGGGAGCAAACAGG
rnacentral:rRNA from 1 species